rnacentral:lncRNA from 12 species
GAAUCUGCAUUUGAACUCAAAGCCCAACCAGUUCAUAUAAGCCAUAAAAGUAUGAGGAGCACUGAUACAAAAUUACCUUGGCGUUGUCUUCAUCCAGCGCAAAGGAGCAGAGGUAGGUAGACUAUCUGCCAGGGGCAAGCUGCCUCCUGGGGGGUGAAGUCUUCCCAGGAUUACUGGUUUACCAAAUGCAGCAGGCAGGUUGAUCUGGGCCUGAGGGUGGUCCUGCAGCAGAGAGAAGCAGAUGCUGGCUGCUAGGAGGGAGGCAUACAACUAAGAGAAUGGGAAAGAGGCCCUAGAGGGGAGUGGGAAGAGUGUGGAUUUUGUCCACUGCCUGUCUCAUGUGGGCAGAUUGGAUCCAAUUUUAUCACUCUCCACUUUAUCCACUGUUGCCCACAGUAACCUCUUUCAGAGGAAGUGAAAACACUUGAAACCAGACGUCCUCCCAACUAGCAGCCAGGCUGCCAGCUGAAACAAGUGUGACCAGGUUGGAGAAACAGGGAGAGACAGUCUUAGCCAACCUGAUUUCUUUCUCAGAAAAAAAUCACAGGAUACACCUACAGAGGCUUUGUGAUUUCAUCCAGUUCCCAUGUCACCUCCGAGAGCUGUUCUCAGAUGAUCAACAACCCACAGCUAAUAUUUACUAAGUGCUUGCUCUUGAUGUCGAGUGACUGGUGCUCAGUAGACACUGGUUUCCUCCCUUCCUUCCUGGCUGCUUUGAAGAGAAUAACAGAGGAGAUCACCAAAGCUUCCCAGACCGGAGUGAUUUUUUUAAAUACCAAAGAAGAG